CUUUCUGCUCGGGAUUAUCGCAUUUGGCUUUUAGGAUCGCGGCUGGAGUAUGAUUCACAGACAGCUCGUGCUGUCCCAGGGUUUGAUGUGCUUUGAGUCGCUGAAUCAUAAUGCUGCUACACCUGUGUAGUGUAAAGAACCUGUACCAGAGCAGGUUUCUGGGUCUGGCGGCCAUGGCCUCGCCGUCACGGAGCUCCCAGAGCCGGCGGCAGUGUAAGAGCGAGACACGCUUCAGCUCGGCUCGAU